CUAUCUUCUUUCAAUUUUACAUUCCCUUCUUCUCUCUCUGCAAAAUAGAAACAACUCAUUCUCUCUUUCUCCAAACAUAACUCCGCCGCCCCUUUCUUGCCGUUUCCGACCACCAGCCCAAACAGAAAAAGUACCACCACCACUAUUACCCUCUCUUUUCCCUCUUUCUUGUAGUAUAAUUUAAUUUUAGAUUAGAACAGUUUCAAAAUUUCACAUCUCCACCUUCUCUCUUAUUUUCCGGCCACCAUGGACUCCCUAAGAGAAAAAUAAACUGAUAAAUCUCUUACUCUUGUUAAUAUUUAUAAAACUCACAAAUAAAAUUCAUGAUCGGACCACCCCCUACUAGAAACCACCGUGCCGGAAUUUACUGCCACCGUGCCGGAAGUACUAUGACAAUUGUUUGGACUCCUCUACAGUUUUCUUCUCCAUCUGCUUGGGUUGAAAGUAUGAACCAGACAUGAGACUUUGUCGAGAGACAGGUUGUGCUCGCAUAACGUAAGUUGAACGUGUGGAAAGCUUGCUAAGGUUCUUUUUAGAUUGUGAGAUUCGCUAUUAUCACGGUGGCCUGGAGUCAUAUCAGGAAGACGGCCAGUCUGGUGUUGAUAAGCGGGAGGCUUGAAGUUGUUGCGGGUCGUUGCUACCCAACCAUCUUCAGUUAGAGUCCAGUGAUCAGCUUAGGGGUUGUUGUUGGGGUCUCUUUUACUCUUCCUCAUUGUUUUCUCUGUAACUUGUAUAUGGUAAACCCUGCUUAUUUAUUUGUUGAAAUAAAUGUUGUCAUUAUGUUCUUCUAGACAGGAUGUUUGACUUGUGUUCUUAAACAUUUCAUUGAGAAAAUAACUUAUAAAAGAGGCCUUGUAUUCUAA